UUGAACGCUGGCGGCAUGCUUUACACAUGCAAGUCGAACGGCAGCGCGGGCUUCGGCCUGGCGGCGAGUGGCGAACGGGUGAGUAAUGCAUCGGAACGUGCCCAGUAGUGGGGGAUAGCCCGGCGAAAGCCGGAUUAAUACCGCAUACGACCUGAGGGUGAAAGCGGGGGACCGAAAGGCCUCGCGCUAUUGGAGCGGCCGAUGUCGGAUUAGCUAGUUGGUGGGGUAAAGGCUUACCAAGGCGACGAUCCGUAGCUGGUCUGAGAGGACGACCAGCCACACUGGGACUGAGACACGGCCCAGACUCCUACGGGAGGCAGCAGUGGGGAAUUUUGGACAAUGGGGGCAACCCUGAUCCAGCCAUGCCGCGUGCGGGAAGAAGGCCUUCGGGUUGUAAACCGCUUUUGUUCGGGAAGAAAUCCUCUGGGCUAAUACCCCGGGGGGACGACGGUACCGGAAGAAUAAGCACCGGCUAACUACGUG
rnacentral:rRNA from 1 species